rnacentral:rRNA from 1 species
ACCAGGGCAUAGUGAUCCAGCGGCUCUGUAUGGAAGGGCCGUUGCUCAUCGGACAAAAGGUACCCCGGGGAUAACAGGCUGAUCGCGUCCAAGAGUUCACAUCGACGACGCGGUUUGGCACCUCGAUGUCGGCUCGUCACGUCCUGGGGCUGAAGCAGGUCCCAAGGGUUCGUCUGUUCGCCGAUUAAAGUGGCACGCGAGCUGGGUUCAGAACGUCGUGAGACAGUUCGGUCCCUAUCCAUCGCGGGCGUAGGAGACUUGAGGAAAUCUGCCCCUAGUACGAGAGGACCGGGGUGGACGGAUAUAGGGUGUUCCAGCUGUCACGCCAGUGGCACCGCUGGGUAGCCACGUCCGGACGGGAUAAGCGCUGAAAGCAUCUAAGUGCGAAGCCCCUUCCAAGAUGAGGUCUCCCUUAGCCGUAAGGCUACUAAAGAGCCCUGGAAGACUACCAGGUUGAUAGGCUGGAGGUGUAAGCAUGGCAACAUGUUAAGCCGACCAGUACUAAUAGCUCGUGCGGCUUGGUCUUAU